GCGCAUAACCUUCAGACAGAGACAGUGAAAGGCGCUCGCAGCUUCCCCCACACGAUGUGUCGAUAUGACGUCGCUGUUGUCUCGUCUUCAGGCGGGAUGAAAACAGUCAGCUUGUACUCCAAACAGCUGCCCGUGCAACAACCGACGGUGGGCCAGCUGAGGAAGGAAGCGCUCAAAGCGUUUUCCACAGAGAAAUAUUUGGGUGAAAUCCGUCUGGUCGUUGAAGGAAAGCCACUGGACGACGACUCUGCGUCGCUGUCCGACUGCAAAAUCAAGCCCAACUCUGUUGUGCAGAUGGUGACCAAGGUUCACGGAGGCUGACUGAGCUCCAUCGUCGAGCUCCAACCGUUUAAUACAGACCAAGGACAAAAAUGCUUUUGUACUGUUAAACCUGUGCAGUUAUUUCGAGCUGCAGUUUCUCAGGGUGUAAACAAUUCUUUAGCUCCUUUUUUCUUUUUUCUCUUUUUUUGUUGUUGAUAAAUUAUGUGGGACACCAAUAACAAAUCGAAGGGUACAAACACCGC